UGUCUUCGUCGUCCGGAAUGG
rnacentral:sRNA from 1 species